rnacentral:rRNA from 1 species
AUACGGAGGGUGCAAGCGUUAUCCGGAUUUACUGGGUUUAAAGGGUGUGUAGGCGGACUUUUAAGUCAGGGGUGAAAUCCCGGGGCUCAACCCCGGAACUGCCUUUGAUACUAUUAGUCUUGAAUUAUGUUGAGGUUGGCGGAAUAUAACAUGUAGCGGUGAAAUGCAUAGAUAUGUUAUAGAACACCGAUUGCGAAGGCAGCUGGCUAAACAUAUAUUGACGCUGAGGCACGAAAGCGUGGGUAGCGAACAGGAUUAGAUACCCUGGUAGUCCACGCCCUAAACGAUGAUUACUCGUCAUUGGCGAUACACAGUCAGUGACCAAGCGAAAGCGUUAAGUAAUCCACCUGGGAAGUACGACCGCAAGGUUGAA